rnacentral:rRNA from 1 species
CCCUUAGAUGUCCGGGGCCGCACGCGCGCUACACUGAAGGAAUCAGCGUGGCUCUGUCCCUGGUCCGAAAGGAUUGGGAAACCCGUUGAAUCUCCUUCGUGAUAGGGAUUGGGGCUUGGAACUGUUCCCCAUGAACGAGGAAUUCCCAGUAAGCGCGAGUCAUAAGCUCGCGUUGAUUACGUCCCUGCCCUUUGUACACACCGCCCGUCGCACCUACCGAUUGAAUGGUCCGGUGAAGCCUCGGGAUUGCGAAUGCUUCGUGCGGACGCGAGAACUUGGCUAAACCUUACCAUUUAGAGGAAGGUGAAGUCGUAACA